rnacentral:rRNA from 1 species
UACAGAGGGUGCAAGCGUUGUUCGGAAUUAUUGGGCGUAAAGGGCGCGUAGGCGGCCUUGCGUGUCUUCCGUGAAAUCCCUCGGCUUAACUGAGGACGUGCGGAAGAAACUGCGAGGCUCGAGUCCGGGAGAGGAGGGUGGAAUUCCCAGUGUAGCGGUGAAAUGCGUGGAUAUUGGGAGGAACACCGGUGGCGAAGGCGG